AAAACGAACGCUGGCGGCAUGCCUAAUACAUGCAAGUCGAACGAAGGCUUCGGCCUUAGUGGCGCACGGGUGCGUAACGCGUGGGAAUCUGCCCCUUGGUUCGGAAUAACAGUUGGAAACGACUGCUAAUACCGGAUGAUGACGAAAGUCCAAAGAUUUAUCGCCAAGGGAUGAGCCCGCGUAGGAUUAGCUAGUUGGUGAGGUAAAGGCUCACCAAGGCGACGAUCCUUAGCUGGUCUGAGAGGAUGAUCAGCCACACUGGGACUGAGACACGGCCCAGACUCCGUACGGGAGGCAGCAGUAAGGGAAUAGUUGGACAA
rnacentral:rRNA from 1 species